rfam:Fibrobacter sp. TWB8 genome assembly, contig: Ga0136280_101
UGGGCUGGUCGAAAGACCCAGGUCCAUCUACUGGCGAGGAAGUUCCUC